rnacentral:sRNA from 1 species
UCCGCUCCGGCGGUCUGCUAAAUCUCCCUCGCGCAGGUCCGGAGGCAUUCCGGGCCCAUCCUUGAAAGGAUGUCCUCAGCGCA